rnacentral:rRNA from 1 species
CGCCAGCAGCCGCGGUAAAACGUAGGAGGCAAGCGUUAUCCGAAUUUACUGGGUGUAAAGCGCGUGCAGGCGGUUCGGUAAGUUGGAUGUGAAAUCUCCUGGCUCAACUGGGAGAGGUCGUUCAAUACUGCCGGGCUCGAGGGUGGUAGAGGGAGGUGGAAUUCCGGGUGUAGUAGUGAAAUGCGUAGAUAUCCGGAGGAACACCUGUGGCGAAAGCGGCCUCCUGGACCACACCUGACGCUCAGACGCGAAAGCUAGGGGAGCGAACGGGAUUAGAAACCCCGGUAGUCCUAGCCGUAAACGAUGUGAACUUGGUAUCGGUGGGGUAAAAGCCAUCGGCGCCGAAGCCAACGCGAUAAGUUCACCACCUGGGGACUACGGCCGCAAGGUUAAAACUCAAAGGAAUUGACGGGGGCCCGCACAAGC